AAUUAUCUUCUUCGUUUCCCUGGAACCUCGGACACCGUGCUAGAUGCAUCGGAAGUGUAGCAAACGUUUCGCUGGGAAAAGAAAUAUGAAAAAUGAAGAAAAGAAGAAUGCAAUAACUAUUUCACGAGAACUCGAAGGUGAUGCCGAAGUAGAUUUCACGUAUUUUUUCCUCCUGCAACAAAUUUAAGAGUAAUGAUAUAUUUCGAUGUAUUUAUCGAUGAUACUGUGUCUUUGCUGGUGUAACUAAUAGCGGCUAAACAACGUUCCUCGUCGUAUCGAUCCUGACAACCACCAGGACAUCGUCCGAACUUGUUUUUAUACCACUCCUUUAGUUUUUCUAUUGGUCCCAU